AGAUGGCGACCGGCGCACGGGUGAGCAACACGUAUCCAACCUGCCGAUAACUCGGGGAUAGCCUUUCGAAAGAAAGAUUAAUACCCGAUGGCAUAAUAGAACCGCAUGGUUUGAUUAUUAAAGAAUUUCGGUUAUCGAUGGGGAUGCGUUCCAUUAGGCAGUUGGUGGGGUAACGGCCCACCAAACCUUCGAUGGAUAGGGGUUCUGAGAGGAAGGUCCCCCACAUUGGAACUGAGACACGGUCCAA
rnacentral:rRNA from 1 species